GUGAGUAAUACUUAGGAAUCUACCUAGUAGUGGGGGAUAGCUCGGGGAAACUCGAAUUAAUACCGCAUACGACCUACGGGAGAAAGGGGGCAACUUGUUGCUCUCGCUAUUAGAUGAGCCUAAGUCGGAUUAGCUAGAUGGUGGGGUAAAGGCCUACCAUGGCGACGAUCUGUAGCUGGUCUGAGAGGAUGAUCAGCCACACCGGGACUGAGACACGGCCCGGACUCCUACGGGAGGCAGCAGUGGGGAAUAUUGGACAAUGGGGGCAACCCUGAUCCAGCCAUGCCGCGUGUGUGAAGAAGGCCUUUUGGUUGUAAAGCACUUUAAGCAGUGAAGAAGACUCCAUGGUUAAUACCCAUGGACGAUGACAUUAGCUGCAGAAUAAGCACCGGCUAACUCUGUGCCAGCAGCCGCGGUAAUACAGAGGGUGCAAGCGUUAAUCGGAAUUACUGGGCGUAAAGCGAGCGUAGGUGGCUUGAUAAGUCAGAUGUGAAAGCCCCGGGCUUAACCUGGGAACGGCAUCUGAUACUGUUAGGCUAGAGUAGGUGAGAGGAAGGUAGAAUUCCAGGUGUAGCGGUGAAAUGCGUAGAGAUCUGGAGGAAUACCGAUGGCGAAGGCAGCCUUCUGGCAUCAUACUGACACUGAGGUUCGAAAGCGUGGGUAGCAAACAGGAUUAGAUACCCUGGUAGUCCACGCCGUAAACGAUGUCUACUAGUCGUUGGGUCCCUUGAGGACUUAGUGACGCAGCUAACGCAAUAAGUAGACCGCCUGGGGAGUACGGCCGCAAGGUUAAAACUCAAAUGAAUUGACGGGGGCCCGCACAAGCGGUGGAGCAUGUGGUUUAAUUCGAUGCAACGCGAAGAACCUUACCUGGUCUUGACAUAUCUAGAAUCCUGCAGAGAUGCGGGAGUGCCUUCGGGAAUUAGAAUACAGGUGCUGCAUGGCUGUCGUCAGCUCGUGUCGUGAGAUGUUGGG
rnacentral:rRNA from 1 species